CCGUAUUGUGAACAACCAAGUAAAUAUUUAUUCGAAACUGAAAGCAGAAUGUAAUAUAUGGGCUUAACUUUUCUAAGUUCAAAAAAAGAUUCAUUGAUUAUUACUUCAACUUGGUACAUAAUUAAGCAAUAGAGUCUUUUGCAAACUGUUGGUUGACAUGUGACCUAGAAAAAUAUCAACUCGAAGUGACCUUGAGUAGACCUGCCAUGUUUUCUAUUUCCGUUAUAAGUUUUGCUGUAUUCUCAGGUUUUAUUCUGGCACAACAGUAUGCACCGGUAUUUCACUCGGAAAUGACGUGGAUGACGGAACUGG